UUUCAGAACUAUUUGAUUCAUGCCAAGUGGCAAAAUCUGUUGAAGAGAAAGGAGAAAAGAUUCUUGGCACGAAAAGAAAGGGAGGAAAAUUUCCUCCACCAGCGAUGGCGGCCCACUGACUAAGGCAGCGGAUGGGACGUGCGAGCAUGCAUGCAUGCAGAUGGGACGCGCGCAUUGUGCACAUGCCUUGCAGCCAUUGUACGUGCAUGCGCGCACUUAGU
rnacentral:lncRNA from 1 species